rnacentral:rRNA from 1 species
ACGGGUGAGUAACGCGUGGGUAACCUACCCUGUACACACGGAUAACAUACCGAAAGGUAUGCUAAUACGGGAUAAUAUAUUUGAGAGGCAUCUCUUAAAUAUCAAAGGUGAGCCAGUACAGGAUGGACCCGCGUCUGAUUAGCUAGUUGGUAAGGUAACGGCUUACCAAGGCGACGAUCAGUAGCCGACCUGAGAGGGUGAUCGGCCACAUUGGAACUGAGACACGGUCCAAACUCCUACGGGAGGCAGCAGUGGGGAAUAUUGCACAAUGGGCGAAAGCCUGAUGCAGCAACGCCGCGUGAGUGAUGAAGGCCUUCGGGUCGUAAAACUCUGUCCUCAAGGAAGAUAAUGACGGUACUUGAGGAGGAAGCCCCGGCUAACUACGUGCCAGCAGCCGCGGUAAUACGUAGGGGGCUAGCGUUAUCCGGAUUUACUGGGCGUAAAGGGUGCGUAGGCGGUCUUUCAAGUCAGGAGUGAAAGGCUACGGCUCAACCGUAGUAAGCUCUUGAAACUGGGAGACUUGAGUGCAGGAGAGGAGAGUGGAAUUCCUAGUGUAGCGGUGAAAUGCGUAGAUAUUAGGAGGAACACCAGUUGCGAAGGCGGCUCUCUGGACUGUAACUGACGCUGAGGCACGAAAGCGUGGGGAGCAAACAGGAUUAGAUACCCUGGUAGUCCACGCUGUAAA